UCCCGGCGGUCCAAGUCGCAGCCACAAUUAUUGGGUCUAAAACAUUCGUAGCUUGUUUUGUAAGUCUCUUGUGAAAUCUUGACUCUUAAGGUUAAGGCGUGCAAGGGAUACUGCAAAACUUGGGACUGGAAGAAGCAAAGAGUACAAUUAAGGUAGCGGUAAAAUGUUUUAAUCUUGAUUGGACUAACAACAGCGAAGGCACUUUGCUAGUACAGAUCUGACAGUGAGGAAUGAAGGCUAGGGUCGCGAAAGG
rnacentral:rRNA from 1 species